rnacentral:rRNA from 1 species
UACGUAGGGGGCAAGCGUUGUCCGGAUUUAUUGGGCGUAAAGAGCGUGUAGGCGGCCAUGCAGGUCAGCUGUGAAAACUCGAGGCUCAACCUCGAGACGUCGGUUGAAACCGUAUGGCUAGAGUCCGGAAGAGGAGAGUGGAAUUCCCGGUGUAGCGGUGAAAUGCGCAGAUAUCAGGAGGAACACCGGUGGCGAAGGCGGGUCUCUGGGCCGAUACUGACGCUGAGGAGCGAAAGCGUGGGGAGCGAACAGG